rnacentral:rRNA from 1 species
GCCCCGCCGUAAACUUAGAUAUAUUAAUACAAUAAAUAUCCGCCUGGGGACUACGAGCGCCAGCUUAAAACCCAAAGGACUUGGCGGUGCUUCAGACCCCCCUAGAGGAGCCUGUUCUAGAACCGAUAACCCCCGUUCAACCUCACCACUUCUUGCCCCUCCCGCCUAUAUACCACCGUCGCCAGCUUACCCUAUGAAGGCACCACAGUAAGCAAAAUGAGCAUUCCUCAAAACGUCAGGUCGAGGUGUAGCGUACGAAAUGGGAAGAAAUGGGCUACAUUAUCUGAAACAGAUUAUUCACGAAAGGCCACCUGAAAAUGAAGGCCCGAAGGUGGAUUUAGCAGUAAAGAGGGAAUAGAGUGCCCUCUUGAAGUCGGCUCUGAAGCGCGC